GGAAGUGAACCAUCUCAGUACCUAGAGGAAAAGAAAGAAACCUCGAUUCCGAAAGUAGUGGCGAGCGAAAUCGGAACAGCCCAAACCAGUAUCACCUCGGUGCUGCUGGGGUUGUAGGGCCCGCAACAGUAGAGUUACCAAUCCAGUCGUUAGUCGAAGUCCUCUGGAAAGAGGCUCCAAAGAGCGUGAUAGGCGCGUAGGCGAAAACGAGCUGGACUCGAAGCGGGUACCUGAGUACUGCGGGGCACGUGGAACCCUGCAGGAAUCUACGGAGACCAUUCCGUAAGGCUAAAUACAAACAUCCGACCGAUAGUGAACCAGUACCGUGAGGGAAAGGUGAAAAGAACCCCUGUGAGGGGAGUGAAAUAGUACCUGAAACCGUGUGCCUACAAGCAGUGGGAGGGCUAUGCCCGUAAGGGAAUGCCUGACCGCGUGCCUAUUGCGUAAUGAGCCGGCUAGUUAUUCUUGUCAGCAAGGUUAAGCGAAAGCGAGCCGAAGCGAAAGCGAGUCCUAAUAGGGCGAACAGUUGGCAGGAAUAGACGCGAAGCGGGAUGAUCUACCCUUGGCCAGGUUGAAAGUGGGGUAACACCCACUGGAGGACCGAACCGGUGUUUGUUGAAAAAAGCUCGGAUGAGCUGAGGGUAGGGGUGAAAGGCUAAUCAAAUUCCGUGAUAGCUCGUUCUCUCCGAAAUAGCUUUAGGGCUAGCCUCGUGUGAUUUGCAACGGUGGUAGAGACCUGGAUGGACUAGGGGGCUUUCCCUUACUGAAUCNAACCAAACUUCGAAUGCCGUUAACAACCAGCACGGGAGUCAGACNGUCGGGGCUAAGCUUGAUUGUCGAGAGGAAAACAGUCCAGAUCGCCGUCUAAGGUCCCCAAAUUUCAGCUAAGUGGAAAAGGAUGUCGGAACGCCCAGACAGCCAGGAGGUUGGCUUAGAAGCAGCCAUCCUUUAAAGAAAGUGUAAUAGCUCACUGGUCAAGCGGUCCGGUGCCGACAAUAUAACGGGGCUAAAGCUGAAUACCGAAGACGCGGAUGCACGCGCAAGCGUGCGUGGUAGGAGAGCAUUCCCAGACGCUCGAAGCGAGAUCGAAAGGACUCGUGGACGGUUGGGAAGAGACCCUGCCGGCAUAAGUAGCGAUAACGGAGGUGAGAACCCUCCGCGCCGAAAGUCUAAGGUUUCCUGAGGAAGGUUAAUCCGCUCAGGGUCAGUCGGUUCCUAAGGCGAGGCCGAAAGGCGUAGCUGAUGGACAUCCGGUUAAUAUUCCGGAACUCCCUUUUGUUCGUUAUCACGAUGGGGUGACGCAGGAAGAUAAGCAUGCCCUCCUAUGGCUAUGGGGGUCGAUGCGUGUAAGGUGUUUCCGAUAGGCAAAUCCGUCGGGAAGUUAUCACUGAGACGCAAAGCAGUAGGCCGUAUGGCUGAAAGGUGCUGAUUCUACACUGCCAAGAAAAACCUCUAAGGAGAACGGGAGGGAACCGUACCUCAAACCGACACAGGUAGACGAGGAGAAUAUCCAAAGGCGCUCGAGAGAAGGCUUGUUAAGGAACUCGGCAAAUUGGACCCGUAACUUCGGGAGAAGGGUCGCCCCGGUAGGGUGCAAGCUCGAGGGGGCCGCAGUGAAGCGCGUACGGCGACUGUUUAACAAAAACACAGGUCUCUGCAAAGUCGAAAACGACGUAUAGGGGCUGACGCCUGCCCGGUGCCGGAAGGUUAAAAGGAGAGGUUAGCCGCAAGGCGAAGCUUUGAAUUGAAGCCCCGGUGAACGGCGGCCGUAACUAUAACGGUCCUAAGGUAGCGAAAUUCCUUGU
rnacentral:rRNA from 1 species